GGGGACGGGGGCGGGCAUGGUGGCAAGGAACGUGAGGGGAUCACAGACCACGGGCACAGUCAUGGGGGAGGCGGGUCCGCAGCCACAGACUGACUGACUCACAGACUGAGCGCCCCUCUCGGUGGGGAAAGGGGGGCCGGUCCGCGCGCGGCUCCGCGGCUCGCGCUCUCCUCACAGGGGCCGCAGCCCCACAGCCCGCCCGCCCCUCAGAGGAGACAGCGGCCCCACCGCCCGGAGACCCCGCACGGGGGAACCGCAACCAACGAGACCCGCUCCCCGCCGCGAGGAAGCGCUCGGCCCCGUGUUGGCUGUUCAAAGCCAUUCCUGUCAUAAGGAAGUAGCAAUGCAAGAAAACUACAGGAAAUUGUGGAUGGAGCUCCUGCUGCCAUUCUAUUAGGAAGCGAAUCAAAGCUGUUUAUGAAAGAAAGGGAAUAUUUCCUGAAUGGUUCAAGUGCGUAGCAACGUCAUGUAAUUCAUAAUCUCUGUGCCAGUACAACAAUGCGUCAGAUUUCCCAGACUGACCUGCUCAGGACACAGCCGUGGAAAUGCAGACUUUGUGGUGGUGUCUCCACUGUUACCCUCCUCCUUUUGGCUCAGUUCUCCGUAAUCUCGGGCUCUGUUUUGCACCUCACAGCAGCAAAAUCCUCACUCAGGCCUCUGAGAAAACAGCUAAGUUGUGAGAAAGAGCUGUGAGACAGUAUGCCUGCUAGAGCCAGACAAAACACAAAGGAGAAAAGCCACAGGCAGAGGCAAGAUUGUUGAGAUGGGGGAGGUCAUUUGCUCCAAAGGCAUAAAGCCCUAAGGAAAAUAAAAAAAGAAAACAGGGAAUCAAGGAUGGGAACUCAGCAACUCAGAGUAUGACCCUGUCCCAGUUGUCCACCCCUCACCGCCAGGUCCCUGCCAGCUCACCUUAGCCUGGGAACUUGUGAGUCCUGGCUAUCAACUGUGUGCAUAAGACAACAAAGAAUUGCUUUGUACCUCAAAGGUGUGUACGUUCUGCUUGCAACAUCUCUCUGCAUGUGCUCAGAGCUCCCAAAGCCAAAUGACAGAGAAGAAAGAGGGCACAUCCAGUGUGCCAAAACCACCAGCAUGAAGAGACUGCCUGAUGACAUGUCCUUCUCUGAAUGAUGGCUCAUACUCUACAUACAAGCAAGGAAAAUAAACUUGUUGCUUUGUUACAUGCAGACAAAUUACCACACGAUGUGAAAAGCAAAAUCUGUUCACUUGUAGCAAGUGUUGGGGGGAAGAAAGAAACCACACACACUUGCCUCCUCCCUGCCCUCCCACCAGCAUCUGAUCACCGUUCACACCUAUUUUUAUCUGAGUAUCAAGCUUUAUGGGUAACCAGUUUAUUAGGGCCACUGCCAGGGAGACACCCCAUCCUCAGAGCUGGCAGCACAGGAUGUGGAAGCACAGCCCAGGAAUCCUACAGGUGCUCAGCAGUCACAAGGUUAGACUGACAGCUGCUCUUUUGAAUUGUGAUACAGCUUUUUAAAGAGUAGCACUCUUAUUUGCCUCCUUUGUCUGUAAGGCUCCUUAACCUACCUGUGUGGCUGUGGAAAGUUUGUCACAUUUAUCCACAAGCCAAAAGGAAGCAGAGAUUGAUCUUUAAUGUUAGACAGAAUCUGAAUCACUGUCUAAACCAACAUAAACUACCUACUCUGUAAUGUCUCAGUAAAUUAGUUUUAGCUUUUCAUGGCAUGAGGAAGUAGCAAAUGAGCUUAGAAAGAGGCAGCUGAAAAUAAGGCACUGGCAAAAUUAAACUAUUUGUUUAACAUAGUAGAGAGGAAAAUUCAAGAAAUACUGGCAGCAAUAACAAUCAUUUUUCCCUCACUUUCUUCCAUAAUUUGGAUUUGAAAAAUGUAAAUGAAAGCAAUGAACGCCUGCAGCUAACAUGCAAAUAGGUAGUGUUUGUCAGAUUAUCUCUAAGUGACUUAACCCAGCCUGCCUUCCCCUACCUGUGCCCAGCACUUUGACCGGCCAUUUCCCUCUCUCAGUACCCUUCAGAAAUAAGUUGGUAAACUUCUGCUCCGAGAAAAGAUCUGGAUGUUUCCUGCUGUGGUAGGAAUUGUGCUAUGGUUAAUAUUACUCUUCUGAAAUAGCUUGUUUAAAACUUAACUUUGAGAAAGGAUACAUUAGAAAAAUAAAUAAAUUCUAUUGACGUAGGAGAUUUUGUCCCCGAAACCAAUAAACUGGUUUUGCUGCUUGAGGAA